rnacentral:rRNA from 1 species
GAUUAAGUUAUUAAGGGCGCACGGUGGAUGCCUUGGCACUAGAAGCCGAUGAAGGACGUUACUAACGACGAUAUGCUUUGGGGAGCUGUAAGUAAGCUUUGAUCCAGAGAUUUCCGAAUGGGGAAACCCAGCAUGAGUUAUGUCAUGUUAUCGAUAUGUGAAUACAUAGCAUAUCAGAAGGCACACCCGGAGAACUGAAACAUCUUAGUACCCGGAGGAAGAGAAAGAAAAUUCGAUUCCCUUAGUAGCGGCGAGCGAAACGGGAAGAGCCCAAACCAACAAGCUUGCUUGUUGGGGUUGUAGGACACUCUAUACGGAGUUACAAAGGACGACAUUAGACGAAUCAUCUGGAAAGAUGAAUCAAAGAAGGUAAUAAUCCUGUAGUCGAAAAUGUUGUCUCUCUUGAGUGGAUCCUGAGUACGACGGAGCACGUGAAAUUCCGUCGGAAUCUGGGAGGACCAUCUCCUAAGGCUAAAUACUCUCUAGUGACCGAUAGUGAACCAGUACCGUGAGGGAAAGGUGAAAAGCACCCCGGAAGGGGAGUGAAAUAGAACCUGAAACCGUGUGCUUACAAGUAGUCAGAGCCCGUUAAUGGGUGAUGGCGUGCCUUUUGUAGAAUGAACCGGCGAGUUACGAUUUGAUGCAAGGUUAAGCAGUAAAUGUGGAGCCGUAGCGAAAGCGAGUCUGAAUAGGGCGUUUAGUAUUUGGUCGUAGACCCGAAACCAGGUGAUCUACCCUUGGUCAGGUUGAAGUUCAGGUAACACUGAAUGGAGGACCGAACCGACUUACGUUGAAAAGUGAGCGGAUGAACUGAGGGUAGCGGAGAAAUUCCAAUCGAACCUGGAGAUAGCUGGUUCUCUCCGAAAUAGCUUUAGGGCUAGCCUCAAGUGAUGAUUAUUGGAGGUAGAGCACUGUUUGGACGAGGGGCCCCUCUCGGGUUACCGAAUUCAGACAAACUCCGAAUGCCAAUUAAUUUAACUUGGGAGUCAGAACAUGGGUGAUAAGGUCCGUGUUCGAAAGGGAAACAGCCCAGACCACCAGCUAAGGUCCCAAAAUAUAUGUUAAGUGGAAAAGGAUGUGGCGUUGCCCAGACAACUAGGAUGUUGGCUUAGAAGCAGCCAUCAUUUAAAGAGUGCGUAAUAGCUCACUAGUCGAGUGACACUGCGCCGAAAAUGUACCGGGGCUAAACAUAUUACCGAAGCUGUGGAUUGUCCUUUGGACAAUGGUAGGAGAGCGUUCUAAGGGCGUUGAAGCAUGAUCGUAAGGACAUGUGGAGCGCUUAGAAGUGAGAAUGCCGGUGUGAGUAGCGAAAGACGGGUGAGAAUCCCGUCCACCGAUUGACUAAGGUUUCCAGAGGAAGGCUCGUCCGCUCUGGGUUAGUCGGGUCCUAAGCUGAGGCCGACAGGCGUAGGCGAUGGAUAACAGGUUGAUAUUCCUGUACCACCUAUAAUCGUUUUAAUCGAUGGGGGGACGCAGUAGGAUAGGCGAAGCGUGCGAUUGGAUUGCACGUCUAAGCAGUAAGGCUGAGUAUUAGGCAAAUCCGGUACUCGUUAAGGCUGAGCUGUGAUGGGGAGAAGACAUUGUGUCUUCGAGUCGUUGAUUUCACACUGCCGAGAAAAGCCUCUAGAUAGAAAAUAGGUGCCCGUACCGCAAACCGACACAGGUAGUCAAGAUGAGAAUUCUAAGGUGAGCGAGCGAACUCUCGUUAAGGAACUCGGCAAAAUGACCCCGUAACUUCGGGAGAAGGGGUGCUCUUUAGGGUUAACGCCCAGAAGAGCCGCAGUGAAUAGGCCCAAGCGACUGUUUAUCAAAAACACAGGUCUCUGCUAAACCGUAAGGUGAUGUAUAGGGGCUGACGCCUGCCCGGUGCUGGAAGGUUAAGAGGAGUGGUUAGCUUCUGCGAAGCUACGAAUCGAAGCCCCAGUAAACGGCGGCCGUAACUAUAACGGUCCUAAGGUAGCGAAAUUCCUUGUCGGGUAAGUUCCGACCCGCACGAAAGGCGUAACGAUUUGGGCACUGUCUCAACGAGAGACUCGGUGAAAUCAUAGUACCUGUGAAGAUGCAGGUUACCCGCGACAGGACGGAAAGACCCCGUGGAGCUUUACUGUAGCCUGAUAUUGAAAUUCGGCACAGCUUGUACAGGAUAGGUAGGAGCCUUUGAAACGUGAGCGCUAGCUUACGUGGAGGCGCUGGUGGGAUACUACCCUAGCUGUGUUGGCUUUCUAACCCGC